rnacentral:rRNA from 1 species
AGACCCGAAACCCGGUGAUCUAGCCAUGGGCAGGUUGAAGGUUGGGUAACACUAACUGGAGGACCGAACCGACUAAUGUUGAAAAAUUAGCGGAUGACCUGUGGCUGGGGGUGAAAGGCCAAUCAAACCGGGAGAUAGCUGGUUCUCCCCGAAAGCUAUUUAGGUAGCGCCUCGUGAAUUCAUCUCCGGGGGUAGAGCACUGUUUCGGCUAGGGGGCCAUCCCGGCUUACCAACCCGAUGCAAACUGCGAAUACCGGAGAAUGUUAUCACGGGAGACACACGGCGGGUGCUAACGUCCGUCGUGAAGAGGGAAACAACCCAGACCGCCAGCUAAGGUCCCAAAGUCAUGGUUAAGUGGGAAACGAUGUGGGAAGGCCCAGACAGCCAGGAUGUUGGCUUAGAAGCAGCCAUCAUUUAAAGAAAGCGUAAUAGCUCACUGGUCGAGUCGGCCUGCGCGGAAGAUGUAACGGGGCUAAACCAUGCACCGAAGCUGCGGCAGCGACGCUUAUGCGUUGUUGGGUAGGGGAGCGUUCUGUAAGCCUGUGAAGGUGGCCUGUGAGGGUUGCUGGAGGUAUCAGAAGUGCGAAUGCUGACAUAAGUAACGAUAAAGCGGGUGAAAAGCCCGCUCGCCGGAAGACCAAGGGUUCCUGUCCAACGUUAAUCGGGGCAGGGUGAGUCGACCCCUAAGGCGAGGCCGAAAGGCGUAGUCGAUGGGAAACGGGUUAAUAUUCCCGUACUUGGUGUUACUGCGAAGGGGGGACGGAGAAGGCUAUGUUGGCCGGGCGACGGUUGUCCCGGUUUAAGCGUGUAGGUGUGUGUUCCAGGUAAAUCCGGUUCACUUUAACACUGAGGCGUGACGACGAGGCACUACGGUGCUGAAGCAACAAAUGCCCUGCUUCCAGGAAAAGCCUCUAAGCAUCAGGUAACAUCAAAUCGUACCCCAAACCGACACAGGUGGUCAGGUAGAGAAUACCAAGGCGCUUGAGAGAACUCGGGUGAAGGAACUAGGCAAAAUGGUGCCGUAACUUCGGGAGAAGGCACGCUGACACGUAGGUGAAGUGAUUUACUCAUGGAGCUGAAGUCAGUCGAAGAUACCAGCUGGCUGCAACUGUUUAUUAAAAACACAGCACUGUGCAAACACGAAAGUGGACGUAUACGGUGUGACGCCUGCCCGGUGCCGGAAGGUUAAUUGAUGGGGUCAGCGCAAGCGAAGCUCCUGAUCGAAGCCCCGGUAAACGGCGGCCGUAACUAUAACGGUCCUAAGGUAGCGAAAUUCCUUGUCGGGUAAGUUCCGACCUGCACGAAUGGCGUAAUGAUGGCCAGGCUGUCUCCACCCGAGACUCAGUGAAAUUGAACUCGCUGUGAAGAUGCAGUGUACCCGCGGCAAGACGGAAAGACCCCGUGAACCUUUACUAUAGCUUGACACUGAACAUUGAGCCUUGAUGUGUAGGAUAGGUGGGAGGCUUUGAAGUGUGGACGCCAGUCUGCAUGGAGCCGACCUUGAAAUACCACCCUUUAAUGUUUGAUGUUCUAACGUGGACCCGUAAUCCGGGUUGCGGACAGUGUCUGGUGGGUAGUUUGACUGGGGCGGUCUCCUCCUAAAGAGUAACGGAGGAGCACGAAGGUUGGCUAAUCCUGGUCGGACAUCAGGAGGUUAGUGCAAUGGCAUAAGCCAGCUUGACUGCGAGCGUGACGGCGCGAGCAGGUGCGAAAGCAGGUCAUAGUGAUCCGGUGGUUCUGAAUGGAAGGGCCAUCGCUCAACGGAUAAAAGGUACUCCGGGGAUAACAGGCUGAUACCGCCCAAGAGUUCAUAUCGACGGCGGUGUUUGGCACCUCGAUGUCGGCUCAUCACAUCCUGGGGCUGAAGUAGGUCCCAAGGGUAUGGCUGUUCGCCAUUUAAAGUGGUACGCGAGCUGGGUUUAGAACGUCGUGAGACAGUUCGGUCCCUAUCUGCCGUGGGCGCUGGAGAACUGAGGGGGGCUGCUCCUAGUACGAGAGGACCGGAGUGGACGCAUCACUGGUGUUCGGGUUGUCAUGCCAAUGGCACUGCCCGGUAGCUAAAUGCGGAAGAGAUAAGUGCUGAAAGCAUCUAAGCACGAAACUUGCCCCGAGAUGAGUUCUCCCUGAGACUUUAGGUCUCCUGAAGGAACGUUGAAGACGACGACGUUGAUAGGCCGGGUGUGUAAGCGCAGCGAUGCGUUGAGCUAACCGGUACUAAUGAACCGUGAGGCUUAACCUUACAACGCCGAAG